AACAAUCAACACUUUGGAGGUCAGAUUUACGUCCCCUGCCUUUCAUUCAAAUUUGCUUAAUUCUAUAUAUCGAGUAGGGGUCGAUGUUAUCGAUCAACAUAAUGGAAACAGCUGAGGACGGAGAAACGGCAAAGACCAGCAAUAAGCCUCCACCAGCCGCUCAUUCGCCGCCAUCUGAAGAACUAUCUUCUUCAACAUCCUGGCUGGGCAAAACACCACCCGCCAGUGCACCACCUGGCGCGACGCCAUGCAGAACCCUCUUUUCUUGUUUCCCAGCCGUACCGUGCUGCCCUUCCUCCUCCUCUUACGGUGGCGCGUCCGGCACCACCCCAGGACCACGGCGAUGUUAGAAAAGAGAGAGAUAGUGAUGCCUCUCUUAAGCAUUUGCUUAG
rnacentral:lncRNA from 1 species